CCUACGGGUGGCUGCAGUAGGGAAUAUUGCUCAAUGGAGGAGACCCUGAAGCAGCAAAGCCGCGUGAAGGAUGAAUGUUUUCGGAUUGUAAAAUCUUUUUUUUAGAGAAGAUAAUGACGGUAUCUAACGAAUAAUCACCGGCUAACACCGUUCCAGCAGCGGCGGUAAUACGGAGGGUGCAAGCGUUAGUCGGAUUCACUGGGCUUAAAGAGCGCGUAGGCGGGAUAGCAAGUCAGAUGUUAAAUCCUAUGGCUUAACCAUAGAACUGCAUUUGAAACUGUUAUUCUAGAGUAUAGGAGAGGUAGGUGGAAUUCGUGGUGUAGGGGUAAAAUGCGUAGAGAUCAAGAGGAAUACUCAUUGCGAAGGCGACCUGCUAGACCAUAACUGACGCUGAUGCGCGAAAGCGUGGGGAGCAAACAGGAUUAGAUACCCGGGUAGUC
rnacentral:rRNA from 1 species